AAUGAACGUUGGCGGCGUGGAUUAGGCAUGCAAGUCGAGCGGCAGCGCGUCCGACCACCCUCGGGUGGUCGGAUGGCGGCGAGCGGCGGACGGGUGAGGAAUGCAUCGGGAUCCGCCUCGUUGUGGGGGAUAACGUAGGGAAACUUACGCUAAUACCGCAUACGACCUACGGGUGAAAGUGGGGGACCUUCGGGCCUCACGCGAUGAGAUGAGCCGAUGCCGG
rnacentral:rRNA from 1 species